UCACAGUGUGGAUGAUUGCUCAGGUAACUGGACAAUUUAAUGUUCCCAAAUAUAUGAAUUAGUCUCCUUGGGGCAUGAAUUUUAAAUAUAUGAAUGUGGAUAUUGAUAUGAAAUUGGUCUUAAAAUUAACUUAAUAGCAAAAAAUGAUCCAUAUAAUCGACAUCAACUGGUUUGGGAUUAAAGCUUAAUUGUUGGUGGUGGUGUUGUUGUAGGCAUCCCUAGGAGAUUUGGUAG
rnacentral:misc_RNA from 1 species